GUAGGGAAUCUUCCACAAUGGACGAAAGUCUGAUGGAGCAACGCCGCGUGAGUGAAGAAGGUUUUCGGAUCGUAAAACUCUGUUGUUGGAGAAGAACACGUUUGAGAGUAACUGUUCAGACGUUGACGGUAUCCAACCAGAAAGCCACGGCUAACUACGUGCCAGCAGCCGCGGUAAUACGUAGGUGGCAAGCGUUAUCCGGAUUUAUUGGGCGUAAAGCGAGCGCAGGCGGUUUCUUAAGUCUGAUGUGAAAGCCUUCGGCUUAACCGAAGAAGUGCAUCGGAAACUGGGAAACUUGAGUGCAGAAGAGGACAGUGGAACUCCAUGUGUAGCGGUGAAAUGCGUAGAUAUAUGGAAGAACACCAGUGGCGAAGGCGGCUGUCUGGUCUGUAACUGACGCUGAGGCUCGAAAGCAUGGGUAGCGAACAGGAUUAGAAACCCGUGUAGUCC
rnacentral:rRNA from 1 species